rnacentral:rRNA from 1 species
UAGGGAAUCUUCCGCAAUGGACGAAAGUCUGACGGAGCAACGCCGCGUGAGUGAAGAAGGAUUUCGGUUCGUAAAACUCUGUUGUUAGGGAAGAAAAAAUGUAUAGUAACUAUAUACAAAAGAGACGGUACCUAACCAGAAAGCCACGGCUAACUACGUGCCAGCAGCCGCGGUAAUACGUAGGUGGCAAGCGUUGUCCGGAAUUAUUGGGCGUAAAGCGCGCGCAGGUGGUUUAGAAAGUCUGAUGUGAAAGCCCACGGCUCAACCGUGGAGGGUCAUUGGAAACUAAUAAACUUGAGUGCAGGAGAGAAAAGUGGAAUUCCUAGUGUAGCGAUGAAAUGCGUAGAGAUUAGGAGGAACACCGGUGGCGAAGGCGACUUUCUGGCCAUAUACUGACGCUGAGGUACGAAAGCGUGGGUAGCAAACAGG